rnacentral:rRNA from 1 species
AACCUGGUUGAUCCUGCCAGUAGUCAUAUGCUUGCUUCAAGGAUUAAGCCAUGUAAAGUGCGAGUAAAUAACUGCACAGUUGAUCUGCGUACAGCUCACUACACCAGUCGUAAUCUACCUGCAUGAAUGACUCUGUCAUCGAGUGGAUAACUUCAGUAACUCCGAAGCUAAUACAUGGACGAGAAAUCGAGUAGCCAUUCAGCACAAGGAGUAACAUCCGAGUGUGGCUUCACGAUGCUUUUGGUCGUAAUAGAAACUGGUCAAUCAGAUUGAAUCUAUUGUGGCAUCAGACCAUUCUGUACAAGGAAACCGUUGCUUGCAACAUUCCGUGUGCGGUUGAGCGACUGACCUAUCAGCUUGUUUGCAAUGUAUUGGACUGCAGAGGCUUUGACGGGUAACGGAGAAUCAGGGUUCGAUUCCGGAGAGGGAGCCUGAGAAACGGCUGCCAUGUCUAAGGACAGCAGCAGGCGCGCAAAUUGCCCAAUACUAGCAUGAGCGAGGCAGCGACGAGAAGUAUUUACCUUGUGCUACAUUGUAUCACGAGGAUAGAAAUGGGUGAUAUCCAAAACCAUCACUGAGGAUCGAUUGGAGGGCAAGUCUGGUGCCAGCAGCCGCGGUAAUUCCAGCUCCAAUAGCGUAUACUAAUGCUGUUGCUGUUAAAAAGCUCGUAGUUCGAUAAGGAUUGAUUCUGGUUCAGAUUCAGUGCUUCGCAGCUUUGCUGCAAGUAUUCGAUGAGAUCCGCUUGGAAUUGGUUCUGCAAUGAGUGACUCGUACGGUGGAAGAGCUCUUCAUUGAGCUUGGAAACGCUUUCGCAGCCAACAUCUGCACAAGUACAGUCGUUCGUGAUACCGUGAACAAAACAGCGUGCUCAAAGCAAGUGAUUCUGCUCGAAUGUUCAAGCAUGGAAUAUCAAGGAAUCGACCGUGAGUCUAAUCUUUGCUGGUUUCUGUAUGCGUCUUGGAGAAUUGGACCUGAGAAUAUCGUGCCAUAGUCAGUUCCUCCGGGUUCUGCUGUGGUACUAAGCUCUAGUUUACCGGUAUUAACAGGGAUGAACGGAGCAGUGUGUAUUGGCUCGCGAGAGGUGAAAUUCUUAGACCGUGCCAAGACAAACGUAAGCGAAGGCAUUCUGCAAGUAUAUCUUCACUAAUCAAGAACGAGAGUGCAGGGAUCGAAGAUGAUCAGAUACCGUCGUAGUCUGCUACUGUAACAAGGUUGCUGUA